GACGAACGCUGGCGGCGUGCCUAACACAUGCAAGUCGAACGGAACUGUUUUGACAGAUUUCUUCGGAAUGAAUUUGAUUUCGUUUAGUGGCGGACGGGUGAGUAACGCGUGAGUAACCUGCCUUCAAGAGGGGAAUAACAUUCUGAAAAGAAUGCUAAUACCGCAUGACAUAUCGGAACCACAUGGUUUUGAUAUCAAAGAUUUUAUCGCUUGAAGAUGGACUCGCGUCCGAUUAGUUAGUUGGUGAGGUAACGGCUCACCAAGACCGCGAUCGGUAGCCGGACUGAGAGGUUGAACGGCCACAUUGGGACUGAGACACGGCCCAGACUCCUACGGGAGGCAGCAGUGGGGGAUAUUGCGCAAUGGGGGCAACCCUGACGCAGCAACGCCGCGUGAAGGAUGAAGGUUUUCGGAUUGUAAACCUCUUUUAUUAAGGACGAAAAAUGACGGUACUUAAUGAAUAAGCUCCGGCUAACUACGUG
rnacentral:rRNA from 1 species